rnacentral:rRNA from 1 species
CUAGCGACUUCAGAGUUUGAUCCUGGCUCAGGACAACGCUGGCGGCGUGCCUAACACAUGCAAGUCGAACGGGACUUAAUGGAAAGCGACUUCGGUCAAUGGAAGUUAAGUUUAGUGGCGAACGGGUGAGUAACGCGUGAGAAACCUGCCUUUCAGUGGGGGACAACAGUUGGAAACGACUGCUAAUACCGCAUAAUGUAUUCGGGGGCAUCCUCUGAAUACCAAAGCUUUAUGUGCUGAAAGAUGGUCUCGCGUCUGAUUAGCUAGAUGGCGGGGUAACGGCCCACCAUGGCGACGAUCAGUAGCCGGUCUGAGAGGAUGAACGGCCACAUUGGGACUGAGAUACGGCCCAG